CAGACCAUGAGAGAGCAAAUGAGGAUAUGAAUUUGCGUCGUAAUGGCGGCUGCAGUCUUGCGUCCCGUCAGGCUCUACUUUGUUGAACACUAAGCUGGGUGAACCAACUUUGUUGUUGCUAUGACCGUAUUACUCAGUUUUACUCACUUGUGUUUGAACGUUACUAAUUUGC